AGGGAAGAAAAUGACGGUACCUGACUAAGAAGCCCCGGCUAACUACGUGCCAGCAGCCGCGGUAAUACGUAGGGGGCAAGCGUUAUCCGGAUUUACUGGGAGUAAAGGGAGCGUAGACGGCACUGCAAGUCUGGAGUGAAAGUCCGGGGCUCAACCCCGGGACUGCUUUGGAAACUGUGGUGCUAGAGUGCAGGAGAGGUAAGUGGAAUUCCUAGUGUAGCGGUGAAAUGCGUAGAUAUUAGGAGGAACACCAGUGGCGAAGGCGGCUUACUGGACUGUAACUGACGUUGAGGCUCGAAAGCGUGGGGAGCAAACAGGAUUAGAUACCCUGGUAGUCCACGC
rnacentral:rRNA from 1 species